rnacentral:rRNA from 1 species
GUGUCAGCCGCCGCGGUAAUACAGAGGUCUCAAGCGUUGUUCGGAUUCAUUGGGCGUAAAGCGCGUUCAGGCGGUUGGGCAAGUCGGGCAUGAAAUCCCUCGGCUUAACCGGGGAACUGCGUCUGAUACUGGAUGGCUUGAGGUUGGGAGAGGGAUGCGGAAUUCCAGGUGUAGCGGUGAAAUGCGUAGAUAUCUGGAGGAACACCGGUGGCGAAGGCGGCAUCCUGGACCAAUUCUGACGCUGAGGAGCGAAAGCCAGGGGAGCAAACGGGAUUAGAUACCCCUGUAGUCC